rnacentral:rRNA from 1 species
UACGUAGGGUGCAAGCGUUGUCCGGAAUUAUUGGCGUAAAGAGCUCGUAGGCGGUUUGUCGCGUCUGGUGUGAAAAUCCAGGGCUUAACCCUGGACCUGCAUCGGGUACGGGCAGACUAGAGUGCGGUAGGGGAGAUCGGAAUUCCUGGUGUAGCGGUGAAAUGCGCAGAUAUCGGGAGGAACACCAAUUGCGAAGGCAGCUCGCUGGGACGUUACUGACGCUGAGACGCGAAAGCGUGGGGAGCAAACAGGG